UACGUAGGGUCCGAGCGUUGUCCGGAAUUAUUGGGCGUAAAGGGCUCGUAGGCGGUCCGUCACGUCGGGAGUGAAAACUCAGGGCUCAACCCUGAGCGUGCUUCCGAUACGGGCGGACUAGAGGUAUGCAGGGGAGAACGGAAUUCCUGGUGUAGCGGUGGAAUGCGCAGAUAUCAGGAGGAACACCUAUUGCGAAGGCAGCUCGCUGGGACGUAACUGACGCUGAGACGCGAAAGCGUGGGGAGCAAACAGG
rnacentral:rRNA from 1 species